rnacentral:rRNA from 1 species
AGAGUUUGAUCCUGGCUCAGGAUGAGCGCUGGCGGUAUGCUUAACACAUGCAAGUCGAACGGGCUUAUGGGUAACUAUAAGUUAGUGGCGGACGGGUGCGUAACGCGUAAGAACCUACCUUUUGGAGGGGGAUAACAUCGGGAAACUGUUGCUAAUACCCCAUAAUGCUGAGGAGUUAAAGCAGCGAAAGCUGGCCAAAAGCGGGGCUUGCGUCUGAUUAGCUAGUUGGUGGGGGUAAAAGCCUCCCAAGGCCACGAUCAGUAGCUGGUCUGAGAGGAUGAUCAGCCACACUGGGACUGAGACACGGCCCAGACUCCUACGGGAGGCAGCAGUGAGGAAUUUUCCGCAAUGGGCGAAAGCCUGACGGAGCAAUACCGCGUGAGGGAAGAAGGACUGUGGUUCGUAAACCUCUUUUCUUAGAGAAGAAACAAUGACGGUAUCUGAGGAAUAAGGACCGGCUAACUCUGUGCCAGCAGCCGCGGUAAUACAGAGGGUCCAAGCGCUAUCCGGAAUUAUUGGGCGUAAAGCGUCUGUAGGUGGUUUAAAAAGUCUACUGUCAAAUACCAAGGCUCAACCUUGGACAGGCAGUAGAGUACCUUUAAACUUGAGUGCGGUAGAGGUAGAGGGAAUCCCUAGCGUAACAGUGAAAUGUGUAGAUUUUAGGGAGAACACCAGCGGCGAAGGCGCUCUACUGGGCCGAGACUGACACUGAGAGACGAAAGCUAAGGGAGCGAAUAGGAUUAGAUACCCUAGUAGUCUUAGCUGUAAACGAUGGAAACUAAGUGCUGCCGAAUGCAGUGCUGUAGCUAACGCGUUAAGUUUCCCGCCUGGGGAGUAUGCUCGCAAGAGUGAAACUCAAAGGAAUUGACGGGGGCCCGCACAAGCAGUGGAUUAUGUGGUUUAAUUCGAUACAACGCGAAGAACCUUACCAGGGUUUGACAUGCCUAGAAUUUCCCAGAGAUGGGGAAGUGCCAGAAAUGGAGCUAGGGCACAGGUGGUGCAUGGCUGUCGUCAGCUCGUGCGUUGACGUGUAUGGUUAAGUCCUGCAACGAGCGCAACCCUCGUCUUUAGUUAAAGCAUUCAAUUUAUUUUGGAUCAACUCUAAAGAGACUGCCAGUGCAAACUGGAGGAAGGUGAGGAUGACGUCAAGUCAGCAUGCCCCUUACACCCUGGGCGACACACGUAAUACAAUGGUUGGGACAAUCAGAAGCGAUCCUGCGAAGGCUAGCGAAUCUGUUAAACUCAACCUCAGUUCGGAUUGCAGGCUGCAACUCGCCUGCAUGAAGUCGGAAUUGCUAGUAAUCGCCAAUCAGCCAUGUGGCGGUGAAUACGUUCCCGGGCCUUGUACACACCGCCCGUCACAUCAAGAAAGGAGAUUUCUCCCAAAGCCGGUAGUCUAACCAGGGCAACUUGGAAGGCGCUGUCAAAGGAGGGGUGUCUGAUCAUGAUGAAGUCGUAACAAGG